GACGAACGCUGGCGGCGUGCUUAACACAUGCAAGUCGAACGGUGAAGGGACCGGUUUUUGCUGGUUCUGGAUGAGUGGCGAACGGGUGAGUAACACGUGAGUAACCUGCCCCCUUCUUCUGGAUAACCGCAUGAAAGUGUGGCUAAUACGGGAUAUUCUGCGCCUGCUGCAUGGUGGGUGUGGGAAAGGUAUUGUUUCGGUGGGGGAUGGGCUCGCGGCCUAUCAGCUUGUUGGUGGGGUGAUGGCCUACCAAGGCGGUGACGGGUAGCCGGCCUGAGAGGGUGGACGGUCACACUGGGACUGAGACACGGCCCAGACUCCUACGGGAGGCAGCAGUGGGGAAUAUUGCACAAUGGGCGCAAGCCUGAUGCAGCGACGCCGCGUGAGGGAUGGAGGCCUUCGGGUUGUAAACCUCUUUCGCCAGUGAAGCAGGCCUGUCCCUUUUGUGGGUGGGUUGACGGUAGCUGGAGAAGAAGCGCCGGCUAACUACGUG
rnacentral:rRNA from 1 species